AGCAGCCGCGGUAAUUCCAGCUCCAAUAGCGUAUAUUAAAGUUGUUGCAGUUAAAAAGCUCGUAGUUGAAUUUCGGGGUUAGCAGGUCGGUCGUGCCAUCGGUAUGAACUGGUCUCGCUGAUCCCUCCCUCUUGACGAACUGUGAUGCCAUUAAUUUGGUGUCGCAGGGAAUCAGGACUGUUACUUUGAAAAAUUAGAGUGUUUAAAGCAGGCUCACGCUUGAAUACAUUAGCAUGGAAUAAUGAAAUAGGACGUUUGAUCCUAUUUUGUUGGUUUCUAGGAUUGACGUAAUGAUUAAUAGGGAUAGUUGGGGGCAUUAGUAUUCAAUUGUCAGAGGUGAAAUUCUUGGAUUUAUUGAAGACUAACUACUGCGAAAGCAUUUGCCAAGGAUGUUUUCAUUAAUCAAGAACGAAAGUUAGGGGAUCGAAGACGAUCAGAUACCGUCGUAGUCUUAACCAUAAACUAUGCCGACUAGGGAUCGGAUGA
rnacentral:rRNA from 1 species